rnacentral:rRNA from 1 species
GAUGAACGCUGGCGGCGUGCCUAAUACAUGCAAGUCGAGCGAACAGACGAGGAGCUUGCUCCUCUGACGUUAGCGGCGGACGGGUGAGUAACACGUGGAUAACCUACCUAUAAGACUGGGAUAACUUCGGGAAACCGGAGCUAAUACCGGAUAAUAUAUUGAACCGCAUGGUUCAAUAGUGAAAGACGGUUUUGCUGUAACUUAUAGAUGGAUCCCGGCCGCAUUGGCUAGUUGGUAAGGUAACGGCUUACCAAGGCAACGAUGCGUAGCCGACCUGAGAGGGUGAUCGGCCACACUGGAACGGAGACACGGUCCAGACUCCUACGGGAGGCAGCAGUAGGGAAUCGUCCGCAAUGGGCGAAAGCUUGACGGAGCAACGCCGCGUGAGUGAUGAAGGUCUUCGGAUCGUAAAACUCUGUUAUUAGGGAAGAACAAAUGUGUAAGUAACUAUGCACGUCUUGACGGUACCUAAUCAGAAAGCCACGGCUAACUACGUG